UUAGCUACUUUAGAUAGGUUUGUAUUCAUGAUUGAUCGUGGGUGCAAACGUUAAACGACAGUUUGUAUCUAUGAUGGCUAAAGCACUUUGUACUGCACAAGAGGCCACGUAGACAUUACGCUAAGUGGCUGAGUGAAAGAGUGCAAAGUAUUUACUUACUUUCAUAUAUUUCGAUGACCGAUCCAUUUAGACGUUUUGUCUAAAUGGAUUUUUUGUUUUCAAAU
rfam:Enterococcus durans ATCC 6056 genomic scaffold acyDB-supercont2.5, whole genome shotgun sequence.